CCUGUUAAAUGUCAUUCUGUGAAGGAUAUGCUCUUACGUCUGUAUAGCCUGGAAGCAUAAUACAGAAAUACUACCAGAAGGACAACUCACACCAGCUUCAAUUCUUCAGCGCAGAGAAAUGACUACAUUGGUGGUCAAUCCUACAAGGUGAUUAAUCAAUAUUUAGAUUUCCUUUUCCCCAACUUUGCUCUACGAUUGCAUUUUCAGAAUUAUUUCAGCUGCAGACCCUCCUACAUGAUAGAAUGUGGAUGUGACCAUCAUUUUGUCAAGCAUCUACCGCUACUACCAGCCAUACUCUAAAGUAGCUGAACAACCUACCAAUAUGAAGCAUCCACCUACUUAGUAUUCAGUUAUUCAAAACUUAUCUAUGGACAACUAAUGUGUAAUAUUGAGUAUUGUAAUUUGCUAUCUACUCCCUCUGUUCCAAAAUGUAGGUCGUUUUUGGCUUUUUUAGUUUCAUAGUAUUUGCUAUGCACCUAGAUAUAACAUAUGUCUAUGUACAUAGCAAAAUAUAUGAAUCUAGAAAAGUCAAAACGACCUACAUUUUGGAACAGAGGGAGUAGAACUUAUGUCUUUGUAUGCUGGUCUAAAAAAUGAAAAAACUAUGCUAUCUA